rnacentral:tRNA from 1 species
GCGUCCAUAGCACAAGGGAUCGUGCAAUCCCCUCCUAAGGGAUAGAUUCAGGUUCGAGUCCUGAUGGACGCACCA